rnacentral:lncRNA from 1 species
AUGAUGACGCAAAGCAGCGCGGAUCCCGAGGGUGGCCGCUCCAUGCCCAUCCACCGGAGCAAGAAGACCCGCAAGCUGGCGGUGCUGGUGGUCCUCCAGAACCUGCUGGUGGCCGCGUGCCUGCUGACCACCAUCUACCAUUUCUAUUACCGGGAGGCUCCGGAGGUGUCUCAUGAUGCUGUAUACAUUCAGUUUGAAGGAGUCACCGGGCUCCACAGAAACGACACGGUGAAGUUCCGUGACAUUCGCGGGAGCCACAUGGUUGAGUGGAAAGAAAAAGACAAGAUCAGCAUCAAAUGUGCCGGCCCUUACAUUUGGCACAUGGAUGUGUGCUAUGAAAGCAUGGCAAAUGAACCCACAGGACCCACAGCAGCCACAGGAAUGCUUUAUCUGGAGGUGAAGCGGAGCGAAACACCUGCCAGCUCCUUCACGCUGAAUGCUACUCAAACUAUCUGCAGGGGGCUCCAGAGUGUUGUGUAUCUCAGGGAGAAGGAGGAGGCAAGUGUGCGUUUGUUGUGCUCCAAACAAUUCAGGAUCAUCAACAUGACCAUGGGUCUACAUUAUCUACUCGGGGAAAGAGACAUGAUUUGUUGAGAAGACUGACACUUGGACUUUGGGAUGAAGGUGCUCUUCUGUGAUGGCACACUGAGCCAGACUCACACUGAUGGCACGGCUGCUGAAGACAGACCGUUCUGCUCCAACUUUCGCUGAAUCUCAUACUUAGAAAACUGGUUGUGUGUGUCCAGUUCCAGGCAGGAACUAAUGAUUGCUGUUUACGGACGUAGACCUGAUCUCCUUUCUUUUAAUUGCAAAAUACAUAGAUAAGAGAACCAACAACGAUGUUCUUACUUUAAAACACGUGCCUCUGUUAUUUCCAAACACUUGUUUUUGUAUUGAACUACUCAAUUGCUGACUGUAACUUCAUCAGUCACACUGAAAGCUCAGGAUCAAACAGCAUUCUUAUGGCUGGACAGUACUCCAAAGGUUCUAUAGGUUUGUGGAAAAAGGUCCAUUGAGCUGGAACUAAAGACCUUUUAGUGUCAUUGCUCGAAAAUAACCUACAAGGGCCUGAUUUUAGGUUACUUUGUGUUUGUUGGACAUUGUCUUCAAUCCUAUAGGUACCCUGUUUAAGCUCAGGUCACUGACUGUUAAGAGGUUUUGAUGUGCUCCUCAGGUGCUUUUCUUGUUUUAACGGAGAAACUGAACACUUUGUAAUUUAUUUCAGCUCUCGGGUGAAACGGAAUGAAUGUAUUUGUUAUUGGUGCCUCAACGUAAUAGACCAGAGCUUUUCUCUGUUCUCUGUUUGCUCAACAGCUUGUUGCUGCUCCUAAUUCUCUUCAGCAGGUGCUGCUGCAGAUUCAGACAUGUCAGACAGGUUUGAUGUGUUGGAUUUUGCAAUCAGACGACGUGGAAUAAGGGGGCGGCUGUCUACAACCAGCUUUCCCCUUCUUUGAAUGUAUCCACGCCUUCUGUGCACUCCCUCUUCUUGUUUUGCUACAACAUGCUGACGUGUGACUUCCAGGGUCAGGUAGCAAAUGUCAGCUUUUCUGAUUGUAAACUGACGGUGCGAUAUGGUUUUGAAUGCUUAUGUGAAGUUCACAAUGCUGCACUGCAGACUUACUGACAGGUUUAAAGGGAUUUUAUUGACAUUAUUUAAUUUAUUUUAAGAUGUGUACCUAAUAAAGAUGGUGUUGGUGAAGCAGCA